AUCGCUUCUCGGCCUUUUGGCUAAGAUCAAGUGUAGUAUCUGUUCUUAUCAGUUUAUAUCUGAUACGUCCCCUAUCUGGGGACCAUAUAUUUAAAUGGAUUUUUGGAACAGGGAGAUGGAAGAAGAGCUUGCUCUGUCCACUCCACGCAUCGACCUGGUAUUGCAGUACCUCCAGGACCGGUGCACCUCUC
rnacentral:snRNA from 1 species